UACGGGAGGCGGCAGUGGGGAAUAUUGCACAAUGGGCGCAAGCCUGAUGCAGCCAUGCCGCGUGUAUGAAGAAGGCCUUCGGGUUGUAAAGUACUUUCAGUCGUGAGGAAGGUGUUAAGGUUAAUAACCUUAGCAAUUGACGUUAGCGACAGAAGAAGCACCGGCUAACUCCGUGCCAGCAGCCGCGGUAAUACGGAGGGUGCGAGCGUUAAUCGGAAUUACUGGGCGUAAAGGGCACGCAGGCGGUUAAUUAAGUUGGAUGUGAAAUCCCCGGGCUUAACCUGGGAAUGGCAUUCAAGACUGGUUAGCUAGAGUCUUGUAGAGGGGGUAGAAUUCCAUGUGUAGCGGUGAAAUGCGUAGAGAUGUGGAGGAAUACCGGUGGCGAAGGCGGCCCCUGGACAAAGACUGACGCUCAUGUGCGAAAGCGUGGGGAGCGAAACAGGGAUUAGAUACC
rnacentral:rRNA from 1 species